rnacentral:rRNA from 1 species
AUUGAACGCUGGCGGCAGGCUUAACACAUGCAAGUCGAGCGGGGUGAUGAUGCUUGCACUAUCACUUAGCGGCGGACGGGUGAGUAAUGCUUAGGAAUCUGCCUAUUAGUGGGGGACAACAUCUCGAAAGGGAUGCUAAUACCGCAUACGUCCUACGGGAGAAAGCAGGGGAUCACUUGUGACCUUGCGCUAAUAGAUGAGCCUAAGUCGGAUUAGCUAGUUGGUGGGUUAAAGGCCUACCAAGGCGACGAUCUGUAGCGGGUCUGAGAGGAUGAUCCGCCACACUGGGACUGAGAAACGGCCCAGACUCCUACGGGAGGCAGCAGUGGGGAAUAUUGGACAAUGGGGGGAACCCUGAUCCAGCCAUGCCGCGUGUGUGAAGAAGGCCUUAUGGUUGUAAAGCACUUUAAGCGAGGAGGAGGCUCUUUUGGUUAAUACCCAAGAUGAGUGGACGUUACUCGCAGAAUAAGCACCGGCUAACUCUGUGCCAGCAGCCGCCGUAA